UACGUAGGUGGCAAGCGUUGUCCGGAAUUAUUGGGCUAAAGCGCGCGCAGGUGGUUUCUUAAGUCUGAUGUGAAAGCCCACGGCUCAACCGUGGAGGGUCAUUGGAAACUGGGGAACUUGAGUGCAGGAGAGAAGAGUGGAAUUCCACGUGUAGCGGUGAAAUGCGUAGAGAUGUGGAGGAACACCAGUGGCGAAGGCGACUCUUUGGCCUGUAACUGACACUGAGGCGCGAAAGCGUGGGGAGCAAACAGG
rnacentral:rRNA from 1 species